rnacentral:rRNA from 1 species
UAUACGACCGUACCGCAAACCGACACUGGUGCGCGAGAUGAGUAUUCUAAGGCGCUUGAGAGAACUCAGGAGAAGGAACUCGGCAAAUUGACACCGUAACUUCGGAAGAAGGUGUGCCCUAUUAGUGUGUAGUGAACAACGAAGCAUGAAUGGGUUGCAAAAAAUCGGUGGCUGCGACUGUUUAUUAAAAACACAGCACUCUGCAAACACGAAAGUGGACGUAUAGGGUGUGACGCCUGCCCGGUGCUGGAAGAUUAAAUGAUGGGGUGCAAGCUCUUGAUUGAAGUCCCAGUAGACGGCGGCCGUAACGAUAACGGUCCUAAGGUAGCGAAAUUCCUUGUCGGGUAAGUUCCGACCUGCACGAAUGGCGUAACGAUGGCCACACUGUCUCCUCCUGAGACUCACCGAAGUUGAAAUGUUUGUGAUGAUGCAAUCUCCCCGCGGAAAGACGGAAAGACCCCAUGAACCUUUACUGUAGCUUUGUAUUGGACUUUGAACAGAUCUGUGUAGGAUAGGUGGGAGGCUUUGAAGCAGGGUCGCUAGAUCUUGUGGAGCCAACGUUGAAAUACCACCCUGGUGUGUUUGAGGUUCUAACCUAGGUCCAUUAUCUGGAUCGGGGACAGUGCAUGGUAGGCAGUUUGACUGGGGCGGUCUCCUCCCAAAGCGUAACGGAGGAGUUCGAAGGUACGCUAGUUACGGUCGGACAUCGUGACGAUAGUGCAAUGGCAUAAGCGUGCUUAACUGCGAGACUGACAAGUCGAGCAGAUGCGAAAGCAGGACAUAGUGAUCCGGUGGUUCUGUAUGGAAGGGCCAUCGCUCAACGGAUAAAAGGUACUCUGGGGAUAACAGGCUGAUACCGCCCAAGAGUUCAUAUCGACGGCGGUGUUUGGCACCUCGAUGUCGGCUCAUCUCAUCCUGGGGCUGUAGCCGGUCCCAAGGGUAUGGCUGUUCGCCAUUUAAAGAGGUACGUGAGCUGGGUUUAAAACGUCGUGAGACAGUUUGGUCCCUAUCUUCCGUGGGCGCUGCAGAUUUGAGGAAGCCUGCUCCUAGUACGAGAGGACCGGAGUGGACACACCUCUGGUGUAUCGGUUGUCACGCCAGUGGCAUUGCCGAGUAGCUAAGUGUGGAAGAGAUAACCGCUGAAAGCAUCUAAGCGGGAAACUCGUUUCAAGAUGAGAUCUGCCGGGGCCUUGAGCCCCCUAAAGAGUCGUUCAAGACCAGGACGUUGAUAGGUCAGGUGUGGAAGCAAA